rnacentral:rRNA from 1 species
UAUGCUUGUCUUAAAGAUUAAGCCAUGCAUGUCUAAGUAUAAGCUUUUAUACGGCGAAACUGCGAAUGGCUCAUUAAAACAGUUAUAGUUUAUUUGAUGGUCUUUACUACAUGGAUAACCGUGGUAAUUCUAUGGCUAAUACAUGCGCACAUACCUCUUCCCUCGUGGAAGGGUAGUGUUUAUUAGAUACAGAACCAACCCACCUUCGGGUGGUCCNCAGGUGAUUCAUAGUAACCGAACGGAUCGCAUUAUGGCCUUUUGGUCGGCGAUGGAUCAUUCAAGUUUCUGACCUAUCAGCUUUCGACGGUACUGUAUUGGACUACCGUGGCAGUGACGGGUAACGGGGAAUUAGGGUUCGAUU